GACGAACGUUGGCGGUGCGCUUUAUGCAUGCAAGUCGAGGGAGAAGCAGUCGUUCCGUAAGGUUCAGCUGUGGAAACCGGCGAACGGGUGAGUAUCACGUGAGGAACCUGCCCCCUAGAUCGGGAUAGCCCGAGGAAACUCGGAUUAAUACCGAAUAUUCUCAUUGGACCGCAUGGUCCUUUGAGGAAAUGGUCCGCCGCUAGGGGAUGGUCUCGCGGCCUAUCAGGUAGUUGGUGGGGUAAUGGCCCACCAAGCCGAAGACGGGUAGCUGGUCUGAGAGGACGAUCAGCCACACUGGAACUGAGAUACGGUCCAGACUCCUACGGGAGGCAGCAGCAGGGAAUAUUGCACAAUGGGCGAAAGCCUGAUGCAGCGACACCGCGUGCGGGAUGACGGCCUUCGGGUUGUAAACCGCUUUCAGGAGGGAAGAAAAUGACGGUACCUCCAGAAGAAGCUCCGGCCAACUACG
rnacentral:rRNA from 1 species